ACUCGGGCACGACCUUAGGGGUGCGGCACUCGUACCGCGUCCCGGGACCGACCCGUAGUAACCAACCUGAGGGA
rnacentral:ncRNA from 1 species